rnacentral:misc_RNA from 1 species
GGCCGUUGCAACCGCCGCGCCGUACCGGUUUAAUCACCGGAGAUUGUUUCAACGGCCUGCCGGAGCUCCGCCUCCACGGCUGGGUUUUCCGAAGCGUUUUCCAUGGCGGUGUUUUGCGAAACAGAGCUCGAGAAGAUUGCUGGCCAUGAAGAAGAAGAAAAGUGAAGAAAAUGAAGUGGUUAAGGAAUUGAAGAUGACUGUGCAGGAAAAAAUGGCGACGAAGAAAGCGGAAAGAAAUGCUUAUUUGGUAGCAGCAAUUGUUUCGAGCUUUGGGAUCACUUCGAUGGCCGCCAUCGCUGUUUAUUACAGAUUCUCUUGGCAAAUGGAGGGCAAAGAGUUUCCAAUUUUGGAAAUGUUCGGUACUUUUGCACUAUCCAUCGGCGCUGCUGUGGGAAUGGAAUUCUGGGCGAGAUGGGCUCACAAAAAGCUAUGGCAUGCUUCGUUAUGGGAUAUGCACGAGUCUCAUCAUAGGGCGAGGGUUGGAGCUUUUGAAUUGAACGAUGUGUUUGCAAUUAUAAACGCUGUCCCAGCCAUUGCUCUUCUUUCUUUUGGCUUCUUCAAUCAAGGCUUCUUUCCCGGCCUCUGUUUUGGUGCCGGUUUGGGAAUUACGGUGUUUGGGAUGGCC